UGUUGGGUUAAGUCCCGCAACGAGCGCAACCCUCGUUCUAUGUUGCCAGCACGUAAUGGUGGGAACUCAUGGGAUACUGCCGGGGUCAACUCGGAGGAAGGUGGGGAUGACGUCAAAUCAUCAUGCCCCUUAUGUCUUGGGCUUCACGCAUGCUACAAUGGCCGGUACAAAGGGCUGCAAUACCGUAAGGUGGAGCGAAUCCCAAAAAGCCGGUCCCAGUUCGGAUUGAGGUCUGCAACUCGACCUCAUGAAGUUGGAGUCGCUAGUAAUCGCAGAUCAGCAACGCUGCGGUGAAUACGUUCCCGGGUCUUGUACACACCGCCCGUCAAGUCAUGAAAGUCGGUAACACCUGAAGCCGGUGGCCCAACCCUUUUGG
rnacentral:rRNA from 1 species